rnacentral:lncRNA from 1 species
AAGGCAUCCAAACGCUGAUGGGGAGGCUGGAAGACGGCAGCCGCCGGACUGGGCAGAUCCUCAAGCAGACCUACAGCAAGUUUGACACAAACUCGCACAACCAUGACGCACUGCUCAAGAACUACGGGCUGCUCUACUGCUUCAGGAAGGACAUGGACAAGGUCGAGACAUUCCUGCGCAUGGUGCAGUGCCGCUCUGUGGAGGGCAGCUGUGGCUUCUAGGUGCCCGAGUAGCAUCCUGUGACCCCUCCCCAGUGCCUCUCCUGGCCCUGAAGGUGCCACUCCAGUGCCCACCAGCCUUGUCCUAAUAAAAUUAAGUUGUAUCAUUU